ensembl:lncRNA
CUCUAUUAGAACUAUAGAAACAUAAUAUCUCUAUUAGAACUAUAGAAACAUAAUAUCUCUAUUAGAACUAGAAACAUAAUAUCUCUAUUAGAACUAGAAACAAGAACAAUAGAAACAACAUUGAAUGUAAACUAAGACAGUUUUUCCAAAAGCACUGAUAUUAACAUAUUGUAUGCAGUAAAACAUGUUCAUGGAAUUGGCCUAUUUUCUGUACUAACUUUUCCCCUACUAAUUAUUUCCCAUACUAACUUCACUUUUACUUGAUGUUUGUCUUUAUGUUUGUCUUUACAAAAGUUUGUCUUUCCCAUAUUAUCGUGUCAAGUCCAUCUUAUCAUUUCCGGGACAGUCUCCAUUGCUUUCUAGCCACUGACGGCUUCUUCUCUGCUGGCCAGUUCACAUCUGCCACUUUCACACAUUCAGGUGGUCCUCCAAUUACUUCCAGAUACUGUGGUAAAUCUGAGAUGACCUUUUGUUCACUGGCAGCAGGUAUUGCAUCAGACACACAAUCUGAACAUCCCCAUACCAGUUUAUCAUCUCUUGGGCUUGUUGACUCCAUUCCUGUGCAUGCACUUUGACCUUUUGUUCUUUGACCUCCAGUAUAACGCCAGGGUAUGGUUGUUCAUCCUAGUUCACAAUGCACCACUGUCCAGUGUGGUGAGCCUCGAUGACAUCUGGACGAAGUGGAGCUGAGGUAUCUGGGUUGGCGACAUCUGGACGAAGUGGAGCUGAGGUAUCUGGGUCGGCGACAUCUGGACGAAGUGGAGCUGAGGUAUCUGGGUCGGCGACAUCUGGACAAAGCGGAGCUGAGAUAUCUGGGUCGGCGACAUCUGGACAAAGUGGAGCUGAGAGACCAUGGCCAUUAGCCGGGGCUGUGAUUUCUUGGAGUCUAUAACAUGGGCAAUCCCACAUGCUAUGCGCUGCUUGGCAGAGACAACUGUCUCUGUAUUUGAGGAUGCCAGGCACGAUACACUUUCCUUUUAUGGUGACCAGAGGUACCCCAGAAAUCCUCUGUGCCUUACUUUCCACCUCUGCCUCACUGACAUAAUACAACUGUAUUUGAGUGCCAGAGUCCCUUACCUCCCGAUAGAAAUACAUUGUGUCCGUUAUGUCUUUUCAGUGGUGGACCAAGAGGUCAGCUGACCCGCCCACUCCAACACUGUUUCUCCUGCUCUCAACAUCUGUGUUAUUUCUGUCUGACCCACCAUUGCUUUCACUCAUGUCUUGUUCCACUUUCUGUGACAACAUUCAUUCUUUUUUUUUUCAACUCUCUAAAACCUUUCACUAAAUCCUGUGUUUUUUUCCAAGGUAGGUUGCUCGGUGAUCCAGGUCAGCAUCCCUGCGCGGUCAAAUCAAAU